CUGCUUUGGCAGAAUAUAUGCUAAAAUUGGAACAAUACAGACAAUAUUAGCAUGGUCCUGGUGUAAGGACGACAUACAAACACAUUAAAAAUAUCUUGAUAUU